rnacentral:misc_RNA from 1 species
UGUUGAACUAUAAGAAAUUUAUUUUUAAGCAAAAGCAGGCCAAAGUGUCGAAGUGCAACAAAUAAUGCUAAGAUCAUUAUGUUCACAAUUGGUCCACUUCAAUAAAAACAUAUAUUUCUUCUCAAGAAAUAAAGAUAUAUCUAGCAGUAGGGAUUUUGCAGGACAAGGCUACAAGGGUAAACAUUGUUGUUGAUUAGUGAGAUUACAGUAGACAUGUCAUGGAUGAGAGGUGAGCCAGCAAGCAAAUUCGGACGUUCUCUCAAGACGAGCAGCAGCCACUAUUCUGAGCAACGGGCUGUCCACGAAUAUUUACAUUUGGAGGCUGGGCAGCAUUUGGGACCGGUUGGUUUGCCAUACUUUUCUUGAUAGCAGCAGUCAUAGCCAUGAAAGACUCUUCUACGUUACUAGCAUCUUUCGCACUGGUCUCCAAGAAUGGAAUA